UUUUGAGCCAUGAGUAUUUGAUACAAGGAUAUAAUAUGGUUAAAUAAAUCCCAUUUAAAUUUGUACUAGAUGGGGGUAAUGCCUGCAACUGUAUAUGUAGCUCCUCAUUGUGUUCCUAGUGUGGAGGAUUAGAGUUGAUGGUUGCUUUGGCUUGGAAUUAGAAAGGAAACUGCAUGAAAUUAAAUAGAAUUAAGGAUUUUACUUCCCAAAGAAAAAUCCUUUCCUGAACUUUCCUCUGAUACUGUAUUCUUACGUAUAAGCUAGGCACAGUAGGCUUUAAAGAUAACUGAAACUAUCCUUGGAGAUUCCAACAGAUUGCUAUUUCAGGCUUCAUUUUUUCUCUGUCUUAGAAGCAAAAUUUUUUUUUUUUUGAACAAGUCCUUUGAACAACUUUACUAGUUUGUGUCUUGUGGAAGCAAGCUGAAUCUUUUUAACAGCCUCGGAAUCCUCAUCUAUUGUGAAAGCCUCCUUAGAGAGCAACCCCCAAACACUUUAGUAAUGUCUGAGAAACACAGCCAAGUGGGUCAUUAUGGAGAAUAAAGAUUCUUCUGCAGGGAUUGUAAUUACCCUUUAGCAUACAGUGGAAAUUCAAGGGAGAAGUAUGGACCUGCUGACUGCAGAGGAAACUCUCAGUUCUUGCUUUGAAAAUAGCUGAUAAUUAUUUCUGUCGCUGUUCCUGUCUCUGGGGCAGGCUCACAAGGAAAACAACAGCACUUGAGGCUGAGCUGCCUCAUCCAUGUCUGGGAGAAAGGGGCUCCAUAAACAACUGGCUGCUCCCUAGGAUUGUCCAGGUUUCUCUGCUUAUUCCAGACAGCACCUUUUCUACAGUUUUACCUGCUUUUAUAUUCACUGAAAGGAAUGGCAGUAUUUAAUUUCAUUUAACAGGCCAGAAAAAGAGGUGUGGAAGGUCUGACAGAAAGCACAGGAAGCUGAACACCUGAGAGCUAACGAGAACAGUUACCUGCAGUGUAUGGCUGUGUUACCCCUGAAAGGCAACUGAAACAAGUUAUAUCGGUUGUCCCUGUGGCUGCUGUGCAGAAAUUUAUCUUGUCCUCAUGCAGGCCCCAGCAGAGACCAAGGAAGCUGCUGCAGCCAAGCUCUGGAGCUUAGCAACAGACUAAUUCUACCAGCUCCAGACUGCAUAAGGCUUGCACUCCUGCUGCUGCUGCAGAGCUGCCUGUGCCUUGCUCCCACAUGGUGCUGUGGAUGCUCUGUGUGGUAAUGACAGCAUUCCAGAAAAAGGUACUUCAAAAGCCUACUGUCUCUCUGAAAUUACGCUCUUAAGAUUAUUUUUGUUUUUGCCAUUUCUAUCCACCUAAAAAUCCAAGAGCCUGAGUUACCACCAGGAAAGCUAUACCAGGUUCACAGGGAGCUAUAAAAACCUCUUCAAAUGGCACAUUGCAGCUUUGCUGAUUGGAACAAUGGUGUGAUUUUACAGCUGGAUAGCUCAAGACCUUCCAGAAGGCAAGGAAGCAAGUGUCCAUGCACCUCAUUAGGAAGUCAGCAACUGUAUCAUUCCAAUGAGCUUAAAUACCAAUUAGUAUCUCCAUUUGCCAGUGAGAUAUGAGCCCUCUGUAUCUUUGCGCUGUCUCUGCUGGACCUCAAGAUGGAUUCAGGACAACAGAGGACUGCUAGGCAGAAAUGAGGGAAGGGGACUCCUCUGCAGAUUGAUCCCUGAAAUCAAAGUGAUGGUUGGAAGUUUCUGAGUGCUUUUGGCAUGUAAACAGCAAAGGAGACAGAGGAGAUGGAUGAGCAGGCAGAGUGCUGGUGACAAGGUCAAAGUAUACUAUAAACAUCUUGUCCAGAGUGCUGGUGCUUCUAUCGACCAAUACCUUUGGCCAUCAUCAAUCCUUGAGCAUCCUCUUACUGUUCUAAAAGGAAAAGCCAAAGCUGAAUGCUGGCUUUUACAGUCUUGAGAGGUUUACACUGCAGCUCUGAAACUCUAGACUCUGUCAUAGCCUCUGUGUGUGGGUUAUUUUGGCAGUACCUGUUGCCUUCUCCAUGAAGCAUAAAUGCUACUGUGACAAAACACAGUUCACCUCUCAGA